rnacentral:rRNA from 1 species
GGGAGUUUACUCCUGAGGUGGCGAGCGGCGGACGGGUGAGUAAUGCCUAGGGAUCUGCCCAGUCGAGGGGGAUAACAGUUGGAAACGACUGCUAAUACCGCAUACGCCCUACGGGGGAAAGAGGGGGACCUUCGGGCCUCUCGCGAUUGGAUGAACCUAGGUGGGAUUAGCUAGUUGGUGAGGUAAUGGCUCACCAAGGCGACGAUCCCUAGCUGUUCUGAGAGGAUGAUCAGCCACACUGGGACUGAGACACGGCCCAGACUCCUACGGGAGGCAGCAGUGGGGAAUAUUGCACAAUGGGGGAAACCCUGAUGCAGCCAUGCCGCGUGUGUGAAGAAGGCCUUCGGGUUGUAAAGCACUUUCAGUAGGGAGGAAAGGGUGAGUCUUAAUACGGCUCAUCUGUGACGUUACCUACAGAAGAAGGACCGGCUAACUCCGUGCCAGCAGCCGCGGUAAUACGGAGGGUCCGAGCGUUAAUCGGAAUUACUGGGCGUAAAGCGUGCGCAGGCGGUUUGUUAAGCGAGAUGUGAAAGCCCUGGGCUCAACCUAGGAAUAGCAUUUCGAACUGGCGAACUAGAGUCUUGUAGAGGGGGGUAGAAUUCCAGGUGUAGCUGCUGAAAUGCAUACGAGAUCUGGCGGGAAUACACGGUGGAGGAAUGCAUGCCUCCCUGUGAUG